CCUCCGGCCCAUCCCUUUACUUGCCCUCCUCUGCUGCCUCCUCUCCCUCCCUUGGGCCGAUGGCCUCUUCUCCCCCUCGAUCUCCUUCAGGUGCUCUCCUUCACCACAAAUCGUAGAACAAAAAGAUGAAAUAAAAAGAAAAUAUGGGAAAAAGGAAAGCAAAUGAUCAAUCCAUAUAGAAAAAAGAUCCUAUCUUUUGAUUUCUUCCAUCUUUCCUUCAUUCCCGUUGAUUUUUCCUAUGUAUUCCCCCAAUUUUUCCUCUAUUUCUUCCAUCCUCAGGGUCUCAAUCGGGCAAGAGGCUUGAGCGGAUGAAUAGGAAAAGAUUAGAUGAUGGCUAGGGUUUU
rnacentral:lncRNA from 1 species